rnacentral:rRNA from 1 species
AACGAACGCUGGCGGCAGGCCCAACACAUGCAAGUCGAACGCCCGCAAGGGGAGUGGCAGACGGGUGAGUAACGCGUGGGAACGUGCCCUUCGGUUCGGAAUAACUCAGGGAAACUUGAGCUAAUACCGGAUACGUCCGUGAGGAGAAAGAUUUAUCGCCGAAGGAUCGGCCCGCGUCGGAUUAGCUAGUUGGUGAGGUAACGGCCCACAAGGCGACGAUCCGUAGCUGGUCUGAGAGGANGAUCAGCCACACUGGGACUGAGACACGGCCCAGACUCCUACGGGAGGCAGCAGUGGGGAAUAUUGGACAAUGGGCGCAAGCCUGAUCCAGCCAUGCCGCGUGAGUGAAGAAGGCCUUAGGGUUGUAAAGCUCUUUCAGCGGGGAAGAUAAUGACGGUACCGCAGAAGAAGCCCCGGCUAACUUCGUGCCAGCCGCCGC